CCCAGACUCCUACGGGAGGCAGCAGUGGGGGAUAUUGCACAAUGGGGGGAGCCCUGAUGCAGCGACGCCGCGUGGGCGAGGGAGCGCCUCGGCGCGUAAAGCCCUUUCGGCGGGGGAGAACGAUGACGGUACCCGACGAAGAAGCACCGGCUAACUACGUGCCAGCAGCCGCGGUAAUACGUAUGGAGCGAGCGUUGUCCGGAAUUACUGGGUGUAAAGGGAGCGAAGGCGGGCUUGUAAGUUGGAUGUCUAAUCCGCGGGCUCAACCGGUGAUCGCGUUCAAAACUGCAGGUCUUGAGUGAAGUAGGGGCAGGCGGAAUUCCUAGUGUAGCGGUGAAAUGCGUAGAUAUUAGGAGGAACACCAGUGGCGAAGGCGGCCUGCUGGGCUUUAACUGACGCUGAGGCUCGAAAGCGUGGGGAGCAAACAGGAUUAGAUACCCCGGUA
rnacentral:rRNA from 1 species